GACGAACGCUGGCGGCGUGCCUAAUACAUGCAAGUAGAACGCAGUUGCGCACGGGUGAGUAACGCGUAGGUAACUGCCUCAUAGCGGGGGAUAACUAUUUGAAACGAUAGCUAAUACCGCCUACUGUGAGAUGGACCUGCGUUGUAUUAGCUAGUUGGUGAGGUAAAGGCUCACCAAGGCGACGAUACAUAGCCGACCUGAGAGGGUGAUCGGCCAAACUGGGACUGAGACACGGCCCAGACUCCUACGGGAGGCAGCAGUAGGGAAGCUUCGGCAAUGGACGGAAGUCUGACGGAGCAACGCCGCGUGAGUGAAGAAGGUUUUCGGAUCGUAAAGCUCUGUUGUUAGAGAAGGGGUAACGAACCAGAAAGGGACGGCUAAAUACGUGCCAGCGGCCGGGGUAAUC
rnacentral:rRNA from 1 species